rnacentral:RNase_P_RNA from 1 species
GCGGUCGGGUGACCGGCCGGCUGAGCAAGCCCCGCCUGGAGCAAGACCAAAUAGGGAGGCGAUGGCUCGUCCCGGGCCGCCUCCGGGUAGGUCGCUCGAGGCGGCGGGUAACCGCCGUCCCAGAUGGAUGGCCGCCGCCCGACGCUCGGCGCAACCCGGGCAUCGGGCACAGAACCCGGCUUACAGGCGGCCUGGCUAU